rnacentral:rRNA from 1 species
CAGUAGCCGCGGUAAUACGAAGGGGGCUAGCGUUGUUCGGAAUUACUGGGCGUAAAGCGCACGUAGGCGGAUAUUUAAGUCAGGGGUGAAAUCCCAGAGCUCAACUCUGGAACUGCCUUUGAUACUGGGUAUCUUGAGUAUGGAAGAGGUGAGUGGAAUUCCGAGUGUAGAGGUGAAAUUCGUAGAUAUUCGGAGGAACACCAGUGGCGAAGGCGGCUCACUGGUCCAUUACUGACGCUGAGGUGCGAAGGCAUGGGGAGCAGACAGGAUUAGAUACCCCCGUAGUCCCUGUCUCUUAUAC